rnacentral:lncRNA from 1 species
GGGGGAACCGGCCGAACCAUCAGCCCGACGGGACGGGAGGGAGCACCCUCGGGGCGGGAAGACGAGCCCCCGGCGGCGCGUGACAGGGCGAAGCGAGGAGCAAAAACGUCACCGCAGCAGCAGCAGCAGCAGCGGCAGUGGCGGAGGCAGUGGCAGCGGCAGCAGUAGCAGCAGGGACACCGGGGGAUGGAAUUGCGCAGCCCCUCUGCAUGAGCAGAGAUGCAACUGUGAGGAACAGAAAAUAGAGCUGAGGAAAUCAACCAGAUUCCCCUGCCCAGCCAGGCCAGAGCCGUCAGGAAAGAAGGUCUAGUUGAAGGCUCCUCACAGAGGUGCCAGGCCUUCCUGAUGAGAUGUGUCCUGCCCCAGAGGGCUCCGGG